rfam:Caenorhabditis remanei strain PB4641 contig5.21, whole genome shotgun sequence.
CCAACGGCCCUCUUUAGGGCCACAAAUCUUAUGUAAUCCUCAUUUU